GAUGAAGAACGUAGCGAAAUGCGAUAAGUAAUGUGAAUUGCAGAAUACAGUGAAUCAUCGAAUCUUUGAACGCACAUUGCGCCCAUUAGUAUUCUAGUGGGCAUGCCUGUUCGAGCGUCAUUUCAACCCUUAAGCCUAGCUUAGUAUUGGGAAUCGACUUUACUGUCGUUCCUCAAAUUCAACGGCGGAUUUAUAGCAAUCUCUGAACGUAGUAAUUUUUUUCCUCGUUUUUGAAAUACUAUAAACCUCAGCCGCUAAACCCCCAAUUUUUCUAUGGUUGACCUCGGAUCAGGUAGGAAUACCCGCUGAACUUAAGCAUAUCAAUAAGCGGAGGA
rnacentral:misc_RNA from 1 species